CCGUUUGACUUUUGUUUGU
rnacentral:misc_RNA from 1 species